rnacentral:rRNA from 1 species
CAGUCGCCACGGUAAUACGGAGGGAGCUAGCGUUACUCGGAAUUACUGGGCGUAAAGCGCACGUAGGCGGCUUUGUAAGUUAGAGGUGAAAGCCUGGAGCUCAACUCCAGAAUUGCCUUUAAGACUGCAUCGCUUGAAUCCAGGAGAGGUGAGUGGAAUUCCGAGUGUAGAGGUGAAAUUCGUAGAUAUUCGGAAGAACACCAGUGGCGAAGGCGGCUCACUGGACUGGUAUUGACGCUGAGGUGCGAAAGCGUGGGGAGCAAACAGGAUUAGAUACCCCCGUAGUCCCUGUCUCUUAUAC